GAUGAACGCUGGCGGCGUGCCUAAUACAUGCAAGUCGAGCGAACAGACGAGGAGCCUGCUCCUCUGACGUUAGCGGCGGACGGGUGAGUAACACGUGGAUAACCUACCUAUAAGACUGGGAUAACUUCGGGAAACCGGAGCUAAUACCGGAUAAUAUAUUGAACCGCAUGGUUCAAUAGUGAAAGACGGUUUUGCUGUCACUUAUAGAUGGAUCCGCGCCGCAUUAGCUAGUUGGUAAGGUAACGGCUUACCAAGGCAACGAUGCGUAGCCGACCUGAGAGGGUGAUCGGCCACACUGGAACUGAGACACAGUCCAGACUCCUACGGGAGGCAGCAGUAGGGAAUCUUCCGCAAUGGGCGAAAGCCUGACGGAGCAACGCCGCGUGAGUGAUGAAGGUCUUCGGAUCGUAAAACUCUGUUAUUAGGGAAGAACAAAUGUGUAAGUAACUAUGCACGUCUUGACGGUACCUAAUCAGAAAGCCACGGCUAACUACGUG
rnacentral:rRNA from 1 species